CCGGUCACACCCUGUGCAGGACCCAGGCCCGGUCAGGACACAGCAUGGACGUGAAGGCCCCCGCUCAGCUCCUGGGCCUCCUGCUGCUCCGGCUCCCAGGAGCCAGCUGCGAAAUCCAGAUGACCCAGUCUCCAUCCUCGCUGUCUGCAUCUCCAGGAGACAGAGUCACCAUCACCUGCCGGGCGAGUCAGAACGUUAACACGUGGUUAGACUGGUUUCAGCAGAAACCGGGGAAAGUUCCUAAGCUUCUGAUCUAUCGUGCAUCCACGUUGCAAACUGGGGUCUCCUCGCGGUUCAGCGGCAGUGGGUCUGGGACAGAUUUCACCCUCACCAUCGGCAGCCUGGAGCCUGAAGACGCUGCCACUUACUACUGCCAGCAAAGUAACAAUUUCCCUCGCACAGUGUUACAGACCAGACCAUAAACCACCAGGGACGCAGAUGUGAGAG